rnacentral:lncRNA from 1 species
AGGGUUUUGUUUUCCUAUGCUUUGGUUUUUUUUCUUUUUUUUUUUUUUGUUGAGACAGGAUCUGGCUGUGUUGCCCAGGCUGGAGUGCGGUAUUCCAAUCACCACUCACUGCAACCUCUGUCUCCCAGGCCCAAGCAAACCUCCCUCCUCAGCCUCCUGAGUAGCAGGGACUACAGGUACAUACCACCACACCUGGCUUUUUUUUUUUUUUUUUUUUUUUUUUUUAAGAGACAG